AGGUAAUGGCUCACCACGACGACGACGGGUAGCCGGCCCGAGAGGGCGACCGGCCACACUGGGANNGAGACACGGCCCAGACUCUUACGGGAGGCAGCACUGGGGAAUAUUGCACACUGGGGGAAACCCCGAUGCAGCGACGCAGCGUGCGGGAUGACGGCCCUCGGGUUGUAAACCGCUUUCAGCAGGGAAGAAGCCUCACGGUGACGGUACCUGCAGAAGAAGUACCGGCUAACUACGUGCCAGCAGCCGCGGUAAUACGUAGGGUACGAGCGUUGUCCGGAAUUAUUGGGCGUAAAGAGCUCGUAGGUGGUUGGUCACGUCUGCUGUGGAAACGCAACGCUUAACGUUGCGCGUGCAGUGGGUACGGGCUGACUAGAGUGCAGUAGGGGAGUCUGGAAUUCCUGGUGUAGCGGUGAAAUGCGCAGAUAUCAGGAGGAACACCGGUGGCGAAGGCGGGACUCUGGGCUGUAACUGACACUGAGGAGCGAAAGCAUGGGGAGCGAACAGGAUUAGAUACCCUGGUAGUCCAUGCCGUAAACGUUGGGCACUAGGUGUGGGGGGCAUUCCACGUUCUCCGCGCCGUAGCUAACGCAUUAAGU
rnacentral:rRNA from 1 species